GUCAUGUAAGUGUGGCAGGAGGGGCAAGUUUUCUUGCGUCAUUAUUGGUUUAACCUAUGGCCAGCGCACCUGGACUAUAAAAACGGGAGCAUAUGUGCUACCUGGGGUGUGUCAUUGGUGAACCACUGUGGUUCGCUAAGGCGCUUUUGUCACUUCCCGGAACUGGAUGAGAGUACUUGAGACAGUAAGGAGAACGCGCUUCUAGUUGUGUUAUAGGUUACAGCAUGUUUAGUUACGAGCGGUAUACUGUCUAACGUAGGCUUUAGAAACGAUUUGUGUGGAGAGUGCUUCUGUCCUUACUCUACGAGUUUUAUUUCCGUGCCGCUCGUUGCGGUCUAUACAGGCUGGGUGUAGACGGAGAAGAAGCUGGGGAAAACCUGACGCAGUUGUUGGAUCUGUGUUUUCUGCACUGGCCUUUGCUGGAAAAGUACAGUUUUGUUGGCUCUUGAUAAAACCUUAAUCCCCUCGAUGAUCGGGCCUGAGCACCAGGGGCAGAGGACUGAUUCUAUUUUAGGUGGCGGUAUCUUCCUCACCGUGUGCAGUGACUUGUUUUAACAUUUGGUUGUGUGUGUGUGUGUGUACACAGUGAUGUGAAGUGAUUCACCUGUGGGUAGUGUGGCUUGACUAUCCGCCUCUACUGGUAAGCUCUAGUCCCUGGCCCUUGAUUUGUUUCAGGACUCUGAGUGGCCAAAGUUCUGAAACUGAUGUUUCAGUAUUUAUUAACCUUGUUUUUAUUCGCAAUU